AGAGUUUGAUCCUGGCUCAGAACGAACGCUGGCGGCAGGCUUAACACAUGCAAGUCGAACGCCCCGCAAGGGGAGUGGCAGACGGGUGAGUAACGCGUGGGAAUCUACCGAGCCCUACGGAAUAACGCAUGGAAACGUGUGCUAAUACCGUAUACGCCCUUAGGGGGAAAGAUUUAUCGGGGUUUGAUGAGCCCGCGUUGGAUUAGCUAGUUGGUGGGGUAAAGGCCUACCAAGGCGACGAUCCAUAGCUGGUCUGAGAGGAUGAUCAGCCACAUUGGGACUGAGACACGGCCCAAACUCCUACGGGAGGCAGCAGUGGGGAAUAUUGGACAAUGGGCGCAAGCCUGAUCCAGCCAUGCCGCGUGAGUGAUGAAGGUCUUAGGAUUGUAAAGCUCUUUCACCGGAGAAGAUAAUGACGGUAUCCGGAGAAGAAGCCCCGGCUAACUUCGUGCCAGCAGCCGCGGUAAUACGAAGGGGGCUAGCGUUGUUCGGAAUUACUGGGCGUAAAGCGCACGUAGGCGGAUAUUUAAGUCAGGGGUGAAAUCCCAGAGCUCAACUCUGGAACUGCCUUUGAUACUGGGUAUCUAGAGUAUGGAAGAGGUGAGUGGAAUUCCGAGUGUAGAGGUGAAAUUCGUAGAUAUUCGGAGGAACACCAGUGGCGAAGGCGGCUCACUGGUCCAUUACUGACGCUGAGGUGCGAAAGCGUGGGGAGCAAACAGGAUUAGAUACCCUGGUAGUCC
rnacentral:rRNA from 1 species